GAUGAACGCUGGCGGCGUGCCUAAUACAUGCAAGUCGAGCGAACAGACGAGGAGCUUGCUCCUCUGACGUUAGCGGCGGACGGGUGAGUAACACGUGGAUAACCUACCUAUAAGACUGGGAUAACUUCGGGAAACCGGAGCUAAUACCGGAUAAUAUAUUGAACCGCAUGGUUCAAUAGUGAAAGACGGUUUUGCUGUCACUUAUAGAUGGAUCCGCGCCGCAUUAGCUAGUUGGUAAGGUAACAGCUUACCAAGGCAACGAUGCGUAGCCGACCUGAGAGGUUGAUCGGCCACACUGGAACUGAGACACGGUCCAGACUCCUACGGGAGGCAGCAGUAGGGAAUCUUCCGCAAUGGGCGAAAGCCUGACGGAGCAACGCCGCGUGAGUGAUGAAGGUCUUCGGAUCGUAAAACUCUGUUAUUAGGGAAGAACAAAUGUGUAAGUAACUAUGCACGUCUUGACGGUACCUAAUCAGAAAGCCACGGCUAACUACGUG
rnacentral:rRNA from 1 species